CGAACGGAACCUUCGGGUUUAGUGGCGGACGGGUGAGUAACGCGUGAGAAUCUGCCUCUAGGUCGGGGACAACAACUGGAAACGGUUGCUAAUACCCGACGUGCAGCAAUGUGAAAGAUUUAUUGCCUAGAGAUGAGCUCGCGUCUGAUUAGCUAGUAGGUGUGGUAAUGGCGCACCUAGGCGACGAUCAGUAACUGGUCUGAGAGGAUGACCAGUCACACUGGGACUGAGACACGGCCCAGACUCCUACGGGAGGCAGCAGUGGGGAAUUUUCCGCAAUGGGCGAAAGCCCGGCGGAGCAAUACCGCGUGAGGGACGAAGGCUUUUGGGUCGUAAACCUCUUUUCCCUGAGAAGAAGAUCUGACGGUAUCAGGGGAAUCAGCAUCGGCUAACUUCGUGCCAGCAGCCGCGGUAAUACGAGGGAUGCAAGCGUUAUCCGGAAUUAUUGGGCGUAAAGCGUCCGCAGGUGGCUCUGUAAGUCUGUCGUUAAAGAAUGGGGCUCAACCCCAUACAGGCGAUGGAAACUACAAGGCUAGAGUUUGGUAGGGGUCACGGGAAUUCUUAGUGUAGCGGUGAAAUGCGUAGAUAUUAAGAAGAACACCAGCGGCGAAAGCGCGUGACUGGGCCAGUACUGACACUCAUGGACGAAAGCUAGGGGAGCGAAAGGGAUUAGAUACCCCUGUAGUCCUAGCCGUAAACGAUGAUAACUAGGUGUUGCCCGUAUCGACCCGAGCCGUGCCG
rnacentral:rRNA from 1 species